rnacentral:rRNA from 1 species
GACGAACGCUGGCGGCGUGCUUAACACAUGCAAGUCGAACGAAGUGUCGAACGGGUGAGUAAUACGUGGGUUACCUGCCCUCCUUUUUUGGAUAAGCCUUGGCAACGGGGUCUAAUACCGAAUAGAGGGGGAUGGGCUCGCGGCCUAUCGGCUUGUUGGUGGGGUGAUGGCGUACCAAGGCGGUGACGGGUAGCCGGCCUGAGAGGGUGACCGGCCACAUUGGGACUGAGACACGGACCAGACUCCUACUGGAGGCAGCAGUGGGGAGUAUUGCACAAGGGGCGGAAGCGUGAUGCGGCGACGCCGCGUGGGGGGUGACGGCAUUCGGGUUGUAAACUCCUUUCACUAUCGACGCGGUAGAUUGAGAAGAAGCACCGGCUAACUACGUGCCAGCAGCCGCGGUAAUAC